CAGCAACUCUUAGGGCCUGUUUUUAGCUGGUUUUUCUGGAUGGAGUCUCAGCAAAAUUUGGAUGCUUAUUGAUAUAGGUGCCUCCAUGGAAACUGAGCCCUUCUGCAUGCCUGAUAAUCAUUGUUUUGUGUGACCUGAUCUUUCUACGUCCACAUAACCUUCCUGGAGACCUCCUUGUUGCAGAGAGAAAUGAGCUGAAGGGAAAAAAGAAUCAGGAUAAAACAUACUACAGUAACCCUUACUAAUGAAUGAAAGCAUCCUCAUGCAUUCUUCAAGUACCUGCUUUGAUAUCCGACUGAGCUGGAGUAGUGAAGAAGCCUGGAAAACCCAGUAGUGCUGGAGGGGACUGUCACCAUGCAGUGAUGGAGAUGUGAGGCCAGGCAUCUGAGCCCAUUGUGAGAAAGGAUUCCUUUUCAACGUGUGUGCCAGAGAGAUCUGAACAGCAGCUACUUCAUCUCAGUCAUGAAAUACUGUAAUUUUUGUGAUGUACAGGUUGUACAGCUAAGGCCAUAAAACUUGGUGAAGAGAGAACCUCUUGAGAAGCCAUUUCUGCUCAUGAGCAUAUCCACUCAUGCCUUAUAUGUCACUAUUUGUCUUUUAUAUUUUGAAAUAUAUUUUUUGCAUGAUGGUUGUAGUUCAAAGCUUCACUGAAGGGAAUAACACUUGACUGAGCUGUUUUGAUUCUUGUAAUGCAAAAGUUUAUUUUUGGUUCUGUUCCUUUGUCAUCCAGACAUACACAUAUCACAUUGACUGAUAAAAGUUACUAGUAGAGAGGAAUCUGUCCUAAGAACAGCAUCUUUAGCAAUACUAAAGCUUCAGGGAACCUUUAUUAAGAUGCAGGUACCAAAUAA
ensembl:lncRNA